UGCCGGCGACCGGCGGACGGGUGCGUAACGCGUAUGUAACCUACCUUUGACAGGGGGAUAACAUCGAGAAAUUGGUACUAAUACCCCAUAACAUCACCGGAGGCAUCUUCGGUGGUUGAAAACUCAGGUGGUCAGAGAUGGACAUGCGUUGUAUUAGCUAGUUGGUGAGGUAACGGCUCACCAAGGCGACGAUACAUAGGGGGACUGAGAGGUUAACCCCCCACAUUGGUACUGAGACACGGACCAAACUCCUACGGGAGGCAGCAG
rnacentral:rRNA from 1 species